UGUACUAUUAGUAGCAGUGAAAAACUGAAAAUCUUUGUUGAUUAAAGGCUGUCCUUCUCCAUUUGCAAUCUCAGUGUUCAUCCAUAUUGAAGAUUUUUCUGAGAAUGAGUUACCAGAAACCUCCCCAUGAACACUACCCUCCUCCAGGAUACGCACCAAAUUAUCCAUCACCAGGAUACCCUCCAUCUGCACCGCCUCCACCAGCGCUGCCCUACGAAGGGUACCCACCACCGUCGCCUCCGUCUGGGUAUCCGGGUUACCCACCACCACCAGGGCCACGACAGCCGUAUGAAGGGUAUCAAGGGUAUUUCGUCGAAGGGUACCCACCACCUCCACCGCCUCCUGGACAGCCUCAUUAUCAGCAUUAUCACUACGAGCAUAACCAUUACCAAGAUAAUUCCGACGGCUGUUCCUCGUUUUUGAAAGGAUGCUCUUUAUUUUCUCUUGACAUGGCAACAACUAAAAACAUAAUUGCUGAACUUAACAAAGACCUAAAGCUCAACAAUGACAAUUAUGAUAUAUGGAGCAUGAAAAUUCAACAUGUCCUUGAGGAGAAAGAAGUGCUAGAGACACUUACGCAUGUCAUGGAAAAACCUGAGGAAGGUCAUACUGCUAAGCACAGAAGAGAUAGCGAGGCUUUUAUUGCUUGGAAGCGAAAGAACAAUCUUGCUCGCAUUACCUUGCUUAGUGCAAUGGCAGAUGACAUAAGGCGACCCUUUAAGAAUUUAGAGUUUGCCAAGGACAUAUGGGAUGCCGUCAAGGAGAAAUUUAGUAGAAUUUUAGGGAUCAAACUUAGAGAACUCACCAUCAAGUUUGAUACUUAUAAGAAGCUUCCAAACAACACAAUGAAACAGCAUUUGAGGGUGAUGGCUAAUAUGGUGAGUGAACUCAAGGAAGCUGGUCACGAAUUGACGGAUGAGCAACAAGUCCAAGCUAUCAUACGCUCCCUUCCUCACUCUUAUGAACAUAUGAAAGUGCAUUUAAUGCACAAUAUGGAUAUUAAAACCUUUAGUGAUGUUGUGCGAUAUUUGGAGUUUGAAGAGGACCUUAUAAAGGCGGCUAAAACUGAUGCAAAUGUGUAUACAAUUACGGCUAAUGCUAAAAAAGCUUCAGGCUUUAAGCGGAAGUGCAAGCACCGGUAUGAUGAUGAAGGGAAGGUAGCUAGCAAGAAGAAGUCAAAGACUAAACAAAAUAAGGGUCCUAUUAAAAAGAACAAAACAAAGAUGAAAUGUUACAACUGUGGUAUAAAGGGUCACUUCGCUAGUGAAUGCACUGAGCCCAAAAAGGUACAAACUCUUGACACACUUGUGUGUGCUAUUAAUGUUUCUAGUAAUUUUUUACUAAUUGAAUCUCAUCCUUUGUGGAUUAUAAACUUAGGAGCCAAAGACCACAUAGCCAAUGAGAGGGAGGCAUUUAUGGAUUUUCAUCGCAUCUCACAAGGAUUUAAGUCGGUGUUUAUUGCAAAAAAUAGUGGAGUGGAAGUCAAAGGGAUUGGCAUGUGCAAACUUCAAUUUUAUAGUGGUCGAAGCCUUCUUUGCAUGAUGUCCUUUACGCUCCUGGAGUAUAACGAAAUAUAGUUUCUAUUUUUUUCUUGAUGGACUUAGGAUUUACUUUAAAUUUUCAUUGCACUGGUUGUCAAUUAAUUUUGUACAAUGUUGUGGUUCUGGUUAUUUUUCGAGCGGAUUUAUAAUUUGGAUGUUAUUAAUGAUAGCUUUAACAAACAAGAUAUUAUUUCUUCUUUUAGUACAUCCACCUCUAUUGAUGCACAAUUAUUGCAUUCUCGUUUGUGUCAUAUUGGCCAAGGUAGGUUCGGUCGAUUAGGUAAAAAAGCCUUUUACAGAUUAUUCGGAUGGAAGGGUUUUAAGAGUAAAGUAGAGUAAGAUUUUAGGAGAUUUUUAGGUUGUU
rnacentral:misc_RNA from 1 species